AUACCCACCUCGCAGGGGAGAUAUCAUGACUACGAAGGCGGCCUUCCCAGCGCGAGGCUCAUCCACUGCACCCCGCAUGUGCUGACCCCUGCGACUUCCCCAGACAUGGGGAACGGGAUGCAGAAUUUGUAGUAGCGGGGGACUGCGUUUGCCUCUCCCCUG